GAUUGGUUCGAGGAAUAACGAAGGC
rnacentral:sRNA from 1 species